AUGGCAUGUUUCUGUUUUCCAAGAGGUCUUUGCGAUAGUAUCACAUCGAUCAUUCGUCAGUUCUGUUGGGGCUCUAAGCAAGGGAAGAGGAAGCCAAGCUGGGUAGCAUGGGAUACCAUGACCUUGCCGAAGCACUUAGGAGGUUUGGGUUUCGACUUGGAAAUUUUCAAUCUUGCAUUGUUAGCAAGGCAGGCAUGGCGCACACUCACAGACAGUACAUCUCUCAACGCUCGGAUCCUCAAGGCACUGUAUUUUCCGGAUUGUUCUCUACUCCAGGCCGAACUAGAAGCCCACCCAUCAUAGAUAUGGAGGGCGAUACUGGACGGGCGUGAUAUCUUAGCACAAGGUUUGGUGCGCAGAAUAGGAGAUGGUGCAACCACUGACAUUUGGCAACAUAACUGGAUACCG
rnacentral:rRNA from 1 species